rnacentral:rRNA from 1 species
AGAGUUUGAUCAUGGCUCAGGACGAACGCUGGCGGCGUGCCUAACACAUGCAAGUCGAACGGGAUCCACGCCAUGAAGUUUUCGGAUGGAUUGGUGUGGUGAGAGUGGCGAACGGGCGAGUAACGCGUGAGCAACCUACCUCGUACUGGGGGAUAACGUCGGGAAACCGGCGCUAAUACCGCAUAAGACUACGAUGCCGCAUGGCAAUGUAGUCAAAGCUCCGGCGGUACGAGACGGGCUCGCGUCCGAUUAGCUAGUUGGUAGGGUAAUGGCCUACCAAGGCGACGAUCGGUAGCCGGACUGAGAGGUCGGCCGGCCGCAUUGGGACUGAGACACGGCCCAGACUCCUACGGGAGGCAGCAGUGGGGAAUAUUGCGCAAUGGGGGAAACCCUGACGCAGCGACGCCGCGUG